rnacentral:rRNA from 1 species
UACGUAGGGUGCAAGCGUUGUCCGGAAUUAUUGGGCGUAAAGAGCUCGUAGGCGGUUUGUUGCGUCGGCUGUGAAAUCCCGAGGCUCAACCUCGGGUCUGCAGUCGAUACGAGCAAACUAGAGUGUUGCAGGGGAGACUGGAAUUCCUGGUGUAGCGGUGAAAUGCGCCAGAUAUCAGGAGGAACACCGGUGGCGAAGGCGGGUCUCUGGGCCGAAUGACUCGUGGAGGAGCGAAAGCGUGGGGAGCAAACAGG